UGUCUUCUAAAUAAAGACCAGUAUGAACGGCUAAAUGAGGACAAACCUGUCUCUUGCAACCAAUCAGUGAAACUGAUCUCCCGGUCCAAAAGCCGGGAUAACCCCAUAAGACGAGAAGACCCUGUGGAGCUUGAAACAAGCUACUAUGCACCACACAAGCUGCAACUAGUAGGCAGUUUUAAGUUGGGGCGACUUCGGAACCAAAAGAAACUUCCGAGCACAGAACCACCCACUCUUACUAAGACUAACAAGUCAAAGUCUAAAAACGACCCAGUAUUACUGAUCAACGAACCAAGUUACCCCAGGGAUAACAGCGCCAUCUUCUUCAAGAGUUCAUAUCGACAAGAAGGUUUACGACCUCGAUGUUGGAUCAGGACACCCCAAUGGUGCAGCCGCUAUUAAAGGUUCGUUUGUUCAACGAUUAACAGU
rnacentral:rRNA from 1 species